UACGAGGGGGGGCAAGCGUUGUUCGGAAUUAUUGGGCGUAAAGCGCGCGCAGGCGGUUCUUUAAGUCUGAUGUGAAAGCCCACGGCUCAACCGUGGAGGGUCAUUGGAAACUGGAGAACUUGAGUACAGAAGAGGAAAGCGGAAUUCCACGUGUAGCGGUGAAAUGCGUAGAGAUGUGGAGGAACACCAGUGGCGAAGGCGGCUUUCUGGUCUGUAACUGACGCUGAGGCGCGAAAGCGUGGGGAGCAAACAGG
rnacentral:rRNA from 1 species